rnacentral:rRNA from 1 species
GAUGAACGCUGGCGGCGUGCCUAAUACAUGCAAGUCGAGCGAACAGACGAGGAGCUUGCUCCUUUGACGUUAGCGGCGGACGGGUGAGUAACACGUGGAUAACCUACCUAUAAGACUGGGAUAACUUCGGGAAACCGGAGCUAAUACCGGAUAACAUGUUGAACCGCUUGGUUCAACAGUGAAAGACGGUCUUGCUGUCACUUAUAGAUGGAUCCGCGCCGCAUUAGCUAGUUGGUAAGGUAACGGCUUACCAAGGCAACGAUGCGUAGCCGACCUGAGAGGGUGAUCGGCCACACUGGAACUGAGACACGGUCCAGACUCCUACGGGAGGCAGCAGUAGGGAAUCUUCCGCAAUGGGCGAAAGCCUGACGGAGCAACGCCGCGUGAGUGAAGAAGGUCUUCGGAUCGUAAAACUCUGUUAUUAGGGAAGAACAAAUGUGUAAGUAACUAUGCACGUCUUGACGGUACCUAAUCAGAAAGCCACGGCUAACUACGUG